rnacentral:ncRNA from 2 species
AGCAGCAUUGUACAGGGCUUUCA